AGAGUUUGAUUCUGGCUCAGAACGAACGCUGGCGGCGUGGAUAAGACAUGCAAGUCGAACGAGAGAAUUGCUAGCUUGCUAAUAAUUCUCUAGUGGCGCACGGGUGAGUAACACGUGAGUAACCUGCCCCCGAGAGCGGGAUAGCCCUGGGAAACUGGGAUUAAUACCGCAUAGUAUCGAAAGAUUAAAGCAGCAAUGCGCUUGGGGAUGGGCUCGCGGCCUAUUAGUUAGUUGGUGAGGUAACGGCUCACCAAGGCGAUGACGGGUAGCCGGUCUGAGAGGAUGUCCGGCCACACUGGAACUGAGACACGGUCCAGACACCUACGGGUGGCAGCAGUCGAGAAUCAUUCACAAUGGGGGAAACCCUGAUGGUGCGACGCCGCGUGGGGGAAUGAAGGUCUUCGGAUUGUAAACCCCUGUCAUGUGGGAGCAAAUUAAAAAGAUAGUACCACAAGAGGAAGAGACGGCUAACUCUGUGCCAGCAGCCGCGGUAAUACAGAGGUCUCAAGCGUUGUUCGGAAUCACUGGGCGUAAAGCGUGCGUAGGCUGUUUCGUAAGUCGUGUGUGAAAGGCGCGGGCUCAACCCGCGGACGGCACAUGAUACUGCGAGACUAGAGUAAUGGAGGGGGAACCGGAAUUCUCGGUGUAGCAGUGAAAUGCGUAGAUAUCGAGAGGAACACUCGUGGCGAAGGCGGGUUCCUGGACAUUAACUGACGCUGAGGCACGAAGGCCAGGGGAGCGAAAGGGAUUAGAUACCCCUGUAGUCCUGGCAGUAAACGGUGCACGCUUGGUGUGCGGGGAAUCGACCCCCUGCGUGCCGGAGCUAACGCGUUAAGCGUGCCGCCUGGGGAGUACGGUCGCAAGAUUAAAACUCAAAGAAAUUGACGGGGACCCGCACAAGCGGUGGAGUAUGUGGCUUAAUUCGAUGCAACGCGAAGAACCUUACCUGGGCUUGAC
rnacentral:rRNA from 1 species